rnacentral:rRNA from 1 species
UACAGAGGUCUCGAGCGUUGUUCGGAUUCAUUGGGCGUAAAGGGUGCGUAGGUGGCGCUGUAAGUCGGGUGUGAAAUCCUGAGGCUUAACCUCGGAACUGCAUUCGAUACUGCGGCGCUUGAGGACUGGAGAGGAGACUGGAAUUCGAUGGUGUAGCAGUGAAAUGCGUAGAGAUCAUGAGGAAGACCAGUGGCGAAGGCGGGUCUCUGGACAGUUCCUGACACUGAGGCACGAAGGCCAGGGAGCAAACGGG